GACGAACGCUGGCGGCGUGCUUAACACAUGCAAGUCGAACGGAAAGGCCCUGCUUUUGUGGGGUGCUCGAGUGGCGAACGGGUGAGUAACACGUGAGUAACCUGCCCUUGACUUUGGGAUAACUUCAGGAAACUGGGGCUAAUACCGGAUAGGAGCUCCUGCUGCAUGGUGGGGGUUGGAAAGUUUCGGCGGUUGGGGAUGGACUCGCGGCUUAUCAGCUUGUUGGUGGGGUAGUGGCUUACCAAGGCUUUGACGGGUAGCCGGCCUGAGAGGGUGACCGGCCACAUUGGGACUGAGAUACGGCCCAGACUCCUCCGGGAGGCAGCAGUGGGGAAUAUUGCACAAUGGGCGGAAGCCUGAUGCAGCAACGCCGCGUGCGGGAUGACGGCCUUCGGGUUGUAAACCGCUUUCGCCUGCGACGAAGCGUGAGUGACGGUAAUGGGUAAAGAAGCACCGGCUAACUACGUG
rnacentral:rRNA from 1 species